rnacentral:lncRNA from 1 species
GAGAAUGGAGGUUUUAAGCUUGGCACUAAAAUCCGAAAAGUCGGAUUUUUGGUCAGUUCUCGGAUAGUCAUCAGCUGGCCGUGUACCGGUACGGGAUUGCUUGCUGUACCGGUACGGGGUUGAUGGCUGUACCGGUACGGGCUCGUGUACCGGUACACAGAGCACUUCCCAGCGAACCCGAGGCUCGGGUUUGGCAUUUUCGUGGGUUGUGUACCGGUACGCGGGCCCGUGUACCGGUACGCAGUGCAGUUUCUGAGCAGUUCGAACUGCAGGGGUGUUUUUGCGAUUGUGCCUAUUCUAUAUAGCACCCACGCCCCUUG